rnacentral:rRNA from 1 species
CCUACCAGUAGUCAUAUGCUUGUCUCAAGGAUUAAGCCAUGCAAGCCUAAGAGUAAAUGGAUUGAUAGUAGGUCUGCGAAUGGCUCAUUACAACAGCAACAAUCUACCCGAUGAAGAAGGAGCAAAUCCUUCCAAACGGAUAUCCCCAGUAACUCUGAGGUUAAUACGUGUACGAACAAUGAGCUCUCGUUCAAAGCAUGGAGGGGUCAAACCCGAAGUGCUGAGGGUUCAUGCAGUUGACCGAUACAAAAACCAACGCCCGCAAGGGCAGCGUUAUGAAUCGAUGAAACAGGUCAUACCAUCUAGCAAUAGCGCAUCUACCUUGAGUAGGCGCGAGAUCGGACGAACUUCUGCCCUAUCAGCUUACGAUGGUAGUGUAGUGGACUACCAUGGCUUUCACGGGUAACGGAGAAUCAGGGUUCGAUUCCGGAGAGGCCGCCUGAGAAACGGCGACCACGGCUAAGGCCGGCAGCAGGCGCGCAAAUUGCCCAAUGUCAACACAUAGACGAGGCAGCGACGAGAAAUAGCAACUCUGCCGUCCAUACGGAUUGUGGAGAUUGCAAUGGAUGAUAUCUAAACCCAUCAAUGAAUGCAAUUGGAGGGCAAGUCUGGUGCCAGCAGCCGCGGUAAUUCCAGCUCCAAUAGCGUAUACUAAUGCUGUUGCUGUUAAAAAGCUCGUAGUUGGAUUCAGGUUCGAUAGCUGCAGAGAGGCCCAUCGCUUGGGUUAGCGUGAGUCGGCUCUGCCGAUUUCGCGUUGGCUUUCGCGUUGUGGAUUCAACCCUCUGCGUUCGGCUAUCAGCCUUCAGACACGGGAUUGAUGCUCUGCGGAAGCCUCCUUAACUGGACGGUGGAAGCACCUGCCGCGUGAAACAUGCGCUAACAAUUGGGGUCGCCCGUGGAUGUUACUGUGAACAAAACAGCGUGUCCAAAGCAGCCGACUUGUCGGUUGAAUGUCUAAGCAUGGAAUAACAAGGGAUCGACCAUCGAGUCAGCCUUUUUGUUGGUUUUACUGACCUGUUCUAUGGGCAAUGCAGGCCGAUGCCACCUGCUUAGGAUAGUAGUGCGUUGAGGUUCCAGCUUGUGGAGCUUCACCGCUUCCAACUGGGGCUCUCUCGUCUAUCUGCCUAUGCAGGUCUCGCGCCUAUCGGGAUCAAUAGGAGCCAUCGGGGGGAUACGUAUUACAACGCUAGUGGUGAAAUACUCAGACCGUUGUAAGACGAACUGCUGCGAAGGCGUUUCUCAAGAAUGCUUCCAUUAAUCAAGAACGAGAGUGUGGGGAUCGAAGAUGAUCAGAUACCGUCGUAGUCCAUUACUGUAAACUAUGCCGACUCGGAAUC